GGGGAAUUUUGGACAAUGGGCGCAAGCCUGAUCCAGCCAUGCCGCGUGCGGGAAGAAGGCCUUCGGGUUGUAAACCGCUUUUGUCAGGGAAGAAAAGGUUCUGGCUAAUACCUGGGACUCAUGACGGUACCUGAAGAAUAAGCACCGGCUAACUACGUGCCAGCAGCCGCGGUAAUACGUAGGGUGCAAGCGUUAAUCGGAAUUACUGGGCGUAAAGCGUGCGCAGGCGGUUAUGCAAGACAGAGGUGAAAUCCCCGGGCUCAACCUGGGAACUGCCUUUGUGACUGCAUAGCUAGAGUGCGGCAGAGGGGGAUGGAAUUCCGCGUGUAGCAGUGAAAUGCGUAGAUAUGCGGAGGAACACCGAUGGCGAAGGCAAUCCCCUGGGCCUGCACUGACGCUCAUGCACGAAAGCGUGGGGAGCAAAC
rnacentral:rRNA from 1 species